rnacentral:rRNA from 1 species
AGUGAACGCUGGCGGUAGGCCUAACACAUGCAAGUCGAACGGCAGCACAGUAAGAGCUUGCUCUUACUGUUGGCGAGUGGCGGACGGGUGAGGAAUACAUCGGAAUCUACUUUUUCGUGGGGGAUAACGUAGGGAAACUUACGCUAAUACCUCAUAUGACCUACGGGUGAAUGCAGGGGUGCAUCGCACCUUGCGCGAUUGAUUGAGCCGAGGUCGGAUUAGCUAGUUGGCGGGGUAACGGCCCACCAAGGCGACGAUGCGUAGCUGGUCUGAGAGGAUGAUCAGCCACACUGGAACUGAGACACGGUCCAGACUCCUACGGGAGGCAGCAGUGGGGAAUAUUGGGCAAUGGGCGCAAGCCUGAUCCAGCCAUACCGCGUGAGUGAAGAAGGCCUUCGGGUUGUAAAGCCCUUUUGUUGGGAAAGAAAAGCAGCAGGUUAAUACCCGGCUGUUCUGACGGUACCCAAAGAAUAAGCACCGGCCAACUUCGUG